GGAAUUUUGGACAAUGGGGGCAACCCUGAUCCAGCCAUUCCGCGUGAGUGAAGAAGGCCUUCGGGUUGUAAAGCUCUUUCGGCAGGAACGAAACGGCGAGCUCUAACAUAGCUCGCUAAUGACGGUACCUGAAGAAGAAGCACCGGCUAACUACGUGCCAGCAGCCGCGGUAAUACGUAGGGUGCGAGCGUUAAUCGGAAUUACUGGGCGUAAAGCGUGCGCAGGCGGUUGUGUAAGACAGGUGUGAAAUCCCCGGGCUUAACCUGGGAACUGCGCUUGUGACUGCACGGCUAGAGUAUGGCAGAGGGGGGUGGAAUUCCACGUGUAGCAGUGAAAUGCGUAGAGAUGUGGAGGAACACCGAUGGCGAAGGCAGCCCCCUGGGCCAAUACUGACGCUCAUGCACGAAAGCGUGGGGAGCAAACAGGAUUAGAUACCCUGGUAGUCCACGCCCUAAACGAUGUCGACUAGGUGUUCGGUGAGGAGACUCAUUGAGUACCGCAGCUAACGCGUGAAGUCGACCG
rnacentral:rRNA from 1 species